GAUGAACGCUGGCGGCGUGCCUAAUACAUGCAAGUCGAGCGAACAGACGAGGAGCUUGCUCCUCUGACGUUAGCGGCGGACGGGUGAGUAACACGUGGAUAACCUACCUAUAAGACUGGGAUAACUUCGGGAAACCGGAGCUAAUACCGGAUAAUAUAUUGAACCGCAUGGUUCAAUAGUGAAAGACGGUUUUGCUGUCACUUAUAGAUGGAUCCGCGCCGCAUUAGCUAGUUGGUAAGGUAACGGCUUAUCAAGGCGACGAUGCGUAGCCGACCUGAGAGGGUGAUCGGCCACACUGGAACUGAGACGCGGUCCAGACUCCUACGGGAGGCAGCAGUAGGGAAUCUUACGCAAUGGGCGAAAGCCUGACGGAGCAACGCCGCGUGAGUGAUGAAGUUCUUCGGAUCGUAAAACUCUGUUAUUAGGGAAGAACAAUUGUGUAAGUAACUAUGCACGUCUUGACGGUACCUAAUCAGAAAGCCACGGCUAACUACGUG
rnacentral:rRNA from 1 species